rnacentral:misc_RNA from 1 species
AAAAGAACAAGACGUAAUUGUAAAAAGGUAUGUAAAAGAAUAACAAACCUAUCUACGAAGACAAAGAACAAAAGUUAAAGUGAGAAAACUAAGAAAUAAGGGGAUAAAAACUUACCCACCCUCUUUCUCCCCUUUACUCAAAUCUCUGCAUUUUCAUAGCUGAUCUUCCCAUUGAAUAGCAUCCAUCAUCAAUUGCAUAACAAAUUUUCCCUCACUUUCCCUCAUUUUCCUCCAUUUUCUCUUCCUCCAUUCGCCUCUUCUUCUCAAAAGAGAAGGACGCAAGGAGAUAGAAUUGUUUCAUUUUGUAAAGAUCUAGGGUUGCAUAGCCUUCCUAGACCUGCAAAUCUGAGUUUCUUGAUCGUGUUUCUCUAGACAUAUAUCAAAUUUAAAUUAAUUUAAUCUCUGUAAAUCCAUUGAAAAGUGAAAAGUUUAGAGAGGUCUGUUUUGGAAGCUAGGGUUCGGCGAUCCUUAUGUUUGGCCUGUUUCGAUUUGAUAUAAAUUAUGGAUACUGUUGGCGAUGUGGCGAUGCUGGAUGCAGAGUUGUUGCAGCUGCCGGAGGUGGCUCCUUUGGCCUUCAAAUCGUACCCGGACUUUGCACAGAAGCUCUUCGAGCAGUGGCUCGCGCUCCCUGACGCUAACCGGCUGGUGACAUCGUUGCUUAAUGAUGCUAAGGCAGGGGCUCCCUUGAAUGUCUCUGGAAACUCUUCUAAUGCAACUGCUACCACAAGCAGUUCUUUACCUUCCAUGUUCCCUGGAGGAAGUACUCCCCCUCUUUCUCCCAGAAGUACAUCUGGUUCCCCUCGUAUAAUGAAACAGAGAGCUGGCCCUUCUAAUUUAGGUUCCCCUCUAAAAGUAGUCAGUGAGCCGGUAAAGGAGUUGAUACCUCAGUUUUACUUUCAAAAUGGCCGUCCAGCUCCAAAUGAACUAAAGGAACAAUGUUUGUUAAGGAUCAAUCACUUUUUCUAUGGCCGCUCAGAUGGGCUACAAUUACAUGGUGAGAUAUGCACGAAACUUGUCAACCUGCUACAUAUCUAGGGCUGAUAUUUUCAUUGUUUCUUUUGCAUGUUCAGAAUUCAAAUCUGUCACCAAGGAAAUUUGCAAGCUGCCCUCAUUCUUCUCCACUGUUCUUUUUAGAAGGAUUGAUGUUAAUGGCACUGGUUUUGUGACAAGGGAUGCCUUUGUUAAUUGUUGGCUAAAUGGCAGCAUGCUGACGAUGGAUACAGCGACUCAAAUGUUUAAAAUUCUAAAGCAACCAGAUCUCAAAUACCUCACUCAGGAAGACUUCAAACCUGUGCUUCGAGAACUUUUGGCAACUCAUCCAGGGUUGGAAUUCUUACAGAGCACACCAGAGUUUCAGGAAAGAUAUGGUUUGUGCUCUGAUGAGCUUUUGAUUGUCCAUUCAACUGAAUAUUAUAGAUAUAGUUGAUUUUGAUUGGUACUUGGUAGUAUUUACAUACACAGACACAUGAAUAUAUUCAAAUUAAUGAGGUGCUGGUUAAAGCUUUAUCUUAAGUGGUUUUGUGCCACAGUUAUGGGGAACCCCAAUGGCAAAGCACCUUAACACAGGCAUUUUUUUAUGGGAAUCUGUUCAUGGUAUUUUUGGUUAUUCCAUGGACAUUGAAUGAAAGGCCAAAUAUAUAAAUUAGUCCCUAAACUAAUUGAUAAAAUAAUAUUGCACCCUUGUAUCUUUAUUUUUGAUCUAUUAUGCCCUUCAAUUAUAUUUUUUGAAAUAAAUAUGCAUGAUUUUCCCAACUCAUCAGUAGAUGUAGCAUUAUUAUGAAUGCUAUACCUUUUAUAUGAUGCACUUUGAUAACUUAAAUCCUUCCUCUUUACAAUUUUCCAGCUGAAACUGUAAUAUACAGAAUAUUUUACUACAUAAAUAGAUCUGGGAAUGGUCAUCUUACCCUUAGGGAGCUGAAACGCGGUAAUCUCGUUGCUGCCAUGCAACAUGCAGAUGAAGAGGAGGACAUUAACAAAGUCCUAAGGUAUUUUUCUUAUGAGCAUUUCUAUGUUAUAUACUGCAAGUUUUGGGAGCUGGAUACAGACCAUGAUUUCUUGAUUGAUAAGGAGAAUCUCAUUCGAUAUGGUAAUCAUGCUCUUACCUACAGGAUUGUUGACAGAAUAUUUUCACAGGUUUGUUGGCUUCAUAAAUUGCUUCCCACGCUAAAGUUUGAAUCAAGUUAACUUUAGUUUUCAAAUUAUGAGAUGCAAUUUACGUAAGUGAGGUGCACAACUCUGUUGUCUUUGUGCCUUAAUUUCAUGUCAGGUUCCAAGGAAGUUUACUAGCAAUAUUGAAGGGAAGAUGGGCUAUGAAGAUUUUGUUUAUUUUAUGCUCUCAGAAGAGGAUAAAUCAUCUGAGCCUAGUCUUGAAUAUUGGUAACUUUGAUUUCAUUGUUAAUUACUGACCUUUUUUUUUUCUCUUUUAGAAAUAUGUGAAAGAUAAAGUGGAUUAUAAAAUUUUAUGUGAUUUACAAUGAGGUCAAUCUUCAUAUAGUAGUUGCUUUAGUUUUUUCAAUGCUCCACUGGCCCCUAAAAUGGACAAGAAGGACAAAAGCUCAGCCUAUAUCUUUAGGUUUUCUUUUUCUUUUCUUAAUAGCCAUUACAUGAUAAAAUUCAAAGUUUAGCUUGCAAAUGUGGUACCAAAACGUGGUUUGAUUAGCUAUUUUAUGUGAACUCUUUUGGUGGAAAUGUUCAAUUUGACUUGCGUCCAUGGGCUGUUGGCAAUACAAAUAAAAGUAGAAAACCAGGGCAUCUUAGACUCAUGCCUGUAUAAAUAUUGACUAGUUGUUUUACCAUAAUGGUACUUUUUCUUCACCUAUGUUACUUGGACUUGGGUACGGGUGUCGAAAUGGGUAUAUAUCCGUGUGUCAGACUUGUGAACUUUCUAAAUAAAAAAUAUGGAAAUAUGGAUUUAAAUUUAGAUAUGGGUGCUCGGAUACAUUAUGUAGAAUGAAAGGGUUAAAGUAAUCUACCCAAAAGGGACCAACCACAAUUAUUCGUCAUCUGCAACCAUUGGAUUCUCAAAAUUUCAAUAUUAACUUGUUUUGUAUUUAUCCUUCAAUUCAAAGUUGCAUUCUCUCUUUAUUUUGUUUUUAACCUAUCCUUUAAUUUAAUAUUCUUUUCAUCUUGAGAGAUCUGUCACUUGAGUGGUCGACUACAUGAAUAUAUGUUGACACAUAUUCCAUGUCGUGUCAUGUUGACAUAUGUUUGGGGCAAAAUGAAGAGAUGGAGCAUCAGAAUUCUUCACUAUAAGGUGAAAUUUUCCAUUUGUGUUAGGCAUGUUUACUUAGUAUAGUUACAACUGGAAACUUCGUUAACAUGGGUAGUGUGUCAAUACUAUGGUUUUUAACCCAGACAUUAUACUUGUAUGUUGCUUGAAUUUCCAGAUGUUGAGUCAUAACACUACCUGGAUAAACUUCUUUCAAUUGAUUUGUCAGUGGGAACUAGGAAGUGAAUACAGAUCCCUUCAGUCCAAAACAUUCCCUCUAAAUGGAUGUGAUUCUAUCCAUAAAGAAAGAGUGAAUAAUUACUCUAAUUAUAUUGAGGCACACCAUUUUCUUGCCAAAUCUUUAGGGAACCCAAGCAAAGCAAGUGUUCUGUUGGUGCUCUCAGACAUGCUCAUUCAAUGUUAAUUCUAAUUGUCAAAUUAGUUAUUGGUCUUGCCAUUAAGAAGUGAGAGCAUAGGUUGUACCCUUAAUUUAGUUUGGAGAGAGUUGUAAUGCAUCAUAUUAAACAUGUUUCUCUGACUAUAAACAAACAUAUUUACAUGAAAAAAGUUGCAACCCAUGGGCUCUACCAACAGCAGCAGUGCUGUCAUCCUUGUUCAAUUCUUCGGUUUAAUUGAAGCAUCACAAUUGCAACAGCUUCACUUUUGACUUUCAGUAAGUGCAAAUGGCAUAAAGUGCUUCCUCCAUUUGUGUCUAGGGUCAAGGCCUAAGACCCAAGUACCACUUUAUGAACCUUUAUCUUGUCUGGAAAUUAUUUCUUAUUGUAUUAGAUGUGCAUGAUUUAUCUUGGCAAGUUGUGUUUGCAGGUUCAAGUGCAUAGAUUUGGAUG